rnacentral:rRNA from 1 species
UACGUAGGUCCCGAGCGUUGUCCGGAUUUAUUGGGCGUAAAGCGAGCGCAGGUGGUUUAUUAAGUCUGGUGUAAAAGGCAGUGGCUCAACCAUUGUAUGCAUUGGAAACUGGUAGACUUGAGUGCAGGAGAGGAGAGUGGAAUUCCAUGUGUAGCGGUGAAAUGCGUAGAUAUAUGGAGGAACACCAGUGGCGAAGGCGGCCGCCUGGCCUGUUGACUGACGCUGAGGCACGAAAGCGUGGGGAGCAAAUAGG